GAUGAAGAACGUAGCGAAAUGCGAUAAGUAGUGUGAAUUGCAGAAUUCAGUGAAUCAUCGAAUCUUUGAACGCACAUUGCGCCCCUUGGUAUUCCAUGGGGCAUGCCUGUUCGAGCGUCAUUUGCACCUUCAAGCUUUGCUUGGUGUUGGGUGUUUGUCUCGCCUUUGCGUGUAGACUCGCCUUAAAAUAAUUGGCAGCCGGCGUAUUGAUUUCGGAGCGCAGUACAUCUCGCGCUUUGCACUCAUAACGACAGCGUCCAAAAGUACAUUUUACACUCUUGACCUCGGAUCAGGUAGGGAUACCCGCUGAACUUAAGCAUAUCAAUAGCGGAGGA
rnacentral:misc_RNA from 1 species